AGCGAACGCUGGCGGCAGGCCUAACACAUGCAAGUCGAACGAACUCUUCGGAGUUAGUGGCGGACGGGUGAGUAACACGUGGGAACGUGCCUUUUGGUUCGGAAUAACUCAGGGAAACUUGUGCUAAUACCGAAUGUGCCCUUCGGGGGAAAGAUUUAUCGCCAUUAGAGCGGCCCGCGUCUGAUUAGCUAGUUGGUGAGGUAACGGCUCACCAAGGCGACGAUCAGUAGCUGGUCUGAGAGGAUGACCAGCCACACUGGGAAUGAGACACGGCCCAGACUCCGACGGGAGGCAGCAGUAGGGAAUCUUGCGCAAGGGGCGAAAGCCUGACGCAGCCAUGCCGCGGGAAUGAUGAAGGUCUUAGGAUUGUAAAAUUCUUUCACCGGGGACGAUAAUGACGGUACCCGGAGAAGAAGCCCCGGCUAACUUCGUG
rnacentral:rRNA from 1 species